UACGUAGGGCGCGAGCGUUGUCCGGAAUUAUUGGGCGUAAAGAGCUCGUAGGCGGCCUGUCGCGUCCGCUGUGAAAACCCGGGGCUUAACCCCGGGCCUGCAGUGGAUACGGGCAGGCUGGAGGCAGGCAGGGGAGAACAGAAUUCCCGGUGUAGUGGUGAAAUGCGUAGAUAUCGGGAGGAACACCAGUGGCGAAGGCGGCUUUCUGGCCUGUUCUUGACGCUGAGGCGCGAAAGCUAGGGGAGCGAACGGG
rnacentral:rRNA from 1 species